GACGAACGCUGGCGGCGUGCUUAACACAUGCAAGUCGAACGGAAAGGCCUGCUUUCCUUUGUGGAUUGCGGGUACUCGAGUGGCGAACGGGUGAGUAACACGUGAGUGAUCUGCCCCCAACUUGGGUAUAAGCCUGGGAAACUGGGUCUAAUUCCCGAUAGGACUGCAGGGUGGUGCCUGUGGUGGAAAACGAUUUUCUAGUGGUUGGGGAUGAGCUCGCGGCCUAUCAGCUUGUUGGUGGGGUAAUGGCCUACCAAGGCGGCGACGGGUAGCCGGCCUGGGAGGGUGGACGGCCACAUUGGGACUGAGAUACGGCCCAGACUCCUACGGGAGGCAGCAGUGGGGAAUAUUGCACAAUGGGCGGAAGCCUGAUGCAGCGACGCCGCGUGGGGGAUGACGGCCUUCGGGUUGUAAACUCCUUUCGACCGCGAGGAAGCCACCUGGUUGGAAGGGUGGUGACGGUAGUGGUAGAAGAAGCACCGGCUAACUACGUG
rnacentral:rRNA from 1 species